AGUCUUGGCAAUGCGGCAGAAAGUGAUUAUAUUAGAUUUGCUGGAAACAGCUAUGGCGAUAAACGCGAUGCAGAAUAAGCAGAGCGGACCCGGGGGCAGUGCCCGGCGCCUCCACCAUAAUUCCGGAUGUUCUGAAAAACAUUCUUUAUGGGGGCGAGUCAGGAUCGACGCAUGUAGUAAAGGCAAAGUUUUCGCUCGGCAUAGUACCACCGUUAUCGGGCUAUUUUAGUAGUUGCAAACGACAACUAUGCUCCGGUUGCUGUUGCUGCUUAAUCGCGGUUACAAAAACCACUCUUAAACUCCAACAGGUUGAGCCCUGUUGGCGGGGUUUGGAUUGACCUUGCAACAGAAUAAUCCGGCG
rnacentral:tmRNA from 1 species